rnacentral:rRNA from 1 species
GGAUGAUCCCCCACACUGGUACUGAGACACGGACCAGACUCCUACGGGAGGCAGCAGUGAGGAAUAUUGGUCAAUGGGCGAAAGCCUGAACCAGCCAUGCCGCGUGCAGGAUGACGGCCCUAUGGGUUGUAAACUGCUUUUCUGCUCCAAGAACCCCACUUACGUGUAAGUGAUUGACGGUAGAGCAGGAAUAAGCAUCGGCUAACUCCGUGCCAGCAGCCGCGGUAAUACGGAGGAUGCAAGCGUUAUCCGGAUUUAUUGGGUUUAAAGGGUGCGCAGGCGGAUUAAUAAGUCAGUAGUGAAAUCCUGCAGCUUAACUGUAGAAUUGCUAUUGAUACUGUUAAUCUUGAGUACAGUUGAGGUAGGCGGAAUGUAUGAUGUAGCGGUGAAAUGCUUAGAUAUCAUACAGAACACCAAUUGCGAAGGCAGCUUACUAAACUGUAACUGACGCUGAGGCACGAAAGCGUGGGGAGCGAACAGGAUUAGAUACCCUGGUAGUCCACGCUGUAAACGAUGAUCACUCGCUGUUGGCAAUACAUCGUCAGUGGCUGAGCAAAAGCAUUAAGUGAUCCACCUGGGGAGUACGUCGGCAACGAUGAAACUCAAAGGAAUUGACGGGGGCCCGCACAAGCGGUGGAACAUGUGGUUUAAUUCGAUGAUACGCGAGGAACCUUACCUGGGCUUAAAUGCAGAACGACGGUUCCCGAAAGGGAUCCUUCUUCGGACGGACUGCAAGGUGCUGCAUGGUUGUCGUCAGCUCGUGCCGUGAGGUGUCGGGUUAAGUCCCAUAACGAGCGCAACCCCUAUUGUUAGUUGCCAGCGAGUAAUGUCGGGGACUCUAACGAAACUGCCGGUGUAAACCGUGAGGAAGGUGGGGAUGACGUCAAAUCAGCACGGCCCUUAUGUCCAGGGCUACACACGUGUUACAAUGGUCGGUACAGAGGGCAGCUACUUGGCGACAAGUUGCAAAUCUCUAAAACCGGCCUUAGUUCGGAUUGAAGUCUGCAACUCGACUUCAUGAAGCUGGAAUCGCUAGUAAUCGCGCAUCAGCCAUGGCGCGGUGAAUACGUUCCCGGGCUUUGUACACACCGCCCGUC